rnacentral:misc_RNA from 1 species
GUGAACGCCCUCACGGGCUUAUACUAUUCCAAACCUCUGUGAACCGUGCCCUUCGGGGCUAUUUUACAAACAUGGUGAAAUGAACGUCAUAUAUCAUAACAAAACA